UCCCAACUCAAUGAAGAAAUCUUCAUCCAC
rnacentral:piRNA from 1 species